AUACUUACCUGGUGCCGGGGUUACCGUGAUCAACGAGGCGGUGCCUCCAGAGUGAGGCGCGGGCAUUGCACUGCGCCCGUGUUGACCUCUGCCACUACCCCAAACUGGUGCAGAUGGGGCAUGCAAUUUUUGGUAGUGGGGGACUGCGUUCGCGCUAUCCCCCU
rnacentral:snRNA from 1 species